AACGAACGCUGGCGGCAGGCCUAACACAUGCAAGUCGAGCGAGGACUUCGGUCCUAGCGGCGGACGGGUGAGUAACGCGUGGGAACGUGCCCCUUGGUACGGAAUAGCCCCGGGAAACUGGGAGUAAUACCGUAUGAGCUCUACGGAGGAAAGAUUUAUCGCCAAGGGAUCGGCCCGCGUUGGAUUAGGUAGUUGGUGGGGUAAUGGCCUACCAAGCCGACGAUCCAUAGCUGGUUUGAGAGGAUGAUCAGCCACACUGGGACUGAGACACGGCCCAGACUCCUACGGGAGGCAGCAGUGGGGAAUCUUAGACAAUGGGCGCAAGCCUGAUCUAGCCAUGCCGCGUGAGCGAUGAAGGCCUUAGGGUUGUAAAGCUCUUUCAGCGAGGAAGAUAAUGACUGUACUCGCAGAAGAAGCCCCGGCUAACUCCGUGCCAGCCGCCGCGGUAACAC
rnacentral:rRNA from 1 species